rnacentral:sRNA from 1 species
UCCGAUAUGGUCUAGUGGCAAGGAUACC